AAGCCUGACGCAGCAACGCCGCGUGAGUGAUGAAGGCUUUCGGGUCGUAAAGCUCUGUCAAUGGGAAAGAAGUGUAUUUUGGCUAAUAUCCUUAAUACUUGACGGUACCCAUAAAGGAAGCACCGGCUAACUCCGUGCCAGCAGCCGCGGUAAUA
rnacentral:rRNA from 1 species